ensembl:lncRNA
UGCACUUUAAAAGCACAUUUACUGGGUUUACAAUAAUGAAAUCACUCAAAUUUUUUGAGAAAGAGCUACAAAUUUGAACCUAGAGGAAAUGUGUGAAAUAAUUUGAAAGGUCCACUCUGUUUCUAAACAUAAUGGUAAAUGGUCUGUAUUUGUAUAGUGCUUUACUUAGUCCCUAUGGACCCCAAAGCACUUUACACUACAUUCAGUCAUCCACCCAUUCACACACACAUUCACACACUGGUGAUGGCAAGCUACGAUGUAGUUUGCCAUUACCGGUGUGUGAAUGUGAAUGGGUGGAUGACUGGUUGUGUAAAGCGCUUUGGGGUCCUUAGGGACUAGUAAAGCGCUAUACAAAUACAGGCCAUUUACUAUUUUAAUGGAAACAUACAUUUCCAGAAAAAUGUUGAUAUAUUUUUUUUCUUUGCUAAUUUGAAAAAUCUCUUGAGUCCUUGAAUCUAUAUACAGCUGUCAUGGUCUCGGUGUCUUAAGAGCUCAUUUUGUCAAAUGAUCUAUGUUCUCGCUGUGACCCUGGAUUACAUAAGCAGAAGAAGAUGGAUGGAUUCAUGUUGUGUCACAUUUCCUGUUUUAUUUUGGUAAUGGAUAUGUAAUGUGUUUUGUGUUGAGCUAACUUCCCCCGUCUCAUUAUACUGUAUCUAUAUUGUCUUCAUGUUGUCUCAGUCUCCCCUUGUUUAUUGUUGUGUUGUCCCUCUGUGACAUAUGCAUGGUUUGCAUAUGCAGGACUCUAAAGAUAUCCCCAUGCCUAGAUUAGAAGCUGGUGUUUUACACAGACAGUAUGAUUAAUAAUGAACAGAAAACAAAACAAAUAUCAAAAGUACACAUACAUAAGAAAAGAAGAAAUUAAUCCCAUGAAUUCAAAUGUGCUUCAGAAUAAAAGAAUGAAACAACAGUUGAACUCGUUUUUAACCCUGUAAAGCCUGAACCAUGAAAUAACUACAAAAUGGUUCAUCUUUUUGACACAGGUAUUUUUUUAACUUUAGACCCAUAAAAAAAAAUUAAAUAUCAAUGUGCAUGUAUGAGUCUUAAUUUAAUUUAUUUUUUUAUUUUUUUUACUUCAGCUGGCAUUUUUGUGCAAUUUAUUGCUUGAAAUUUUAUUGUGCAAUUUCUUCAGAUUUCUCAGGGGGAAAAUUCACACUAAUAAUGUGGAAGUCUCAAAAAAGUCAUAAAAACUAAUGUAUUAAAUAUGAUACACUUGGCAUUUCAGCAUUAUGGGAAAUAUUCAUAUAAGAUACGCUUUAGAUCUCUGGAGUAAUUUCAGCGAUUACUCCAGAGCCAAGAGCCAUUAGUGUCAUUUGUUUAAUCCAUACAAUUAACCAAAAUUCCAUAAACUUUAGGGAUUUCAGUGUAUCAUUAACUUUCAGUCCCCAACAACAACUUCCGUUUUCUCUUAA